ensembl:lincRNA
GGUCACUUUAGAACAUGGCUAAUUCUGGGAAGUCAGGCACAAAACUUGGAAAGGGAGUGGACUGUGUAAGCAUGCAAAUGCUCACAGGAGCACACAAACACACAACGGGAAAAAAGCAUCGCAUAAGCACCUUAUUUUAUUUAAGCAUGAGGAAGGUGUGAGGGGAGCCAUACCAUAUGAGUUGCAGUUACCCUCGUUAGCCGUGCAAGACCAAAGGACUUUGUGCUUUCUCUUGCCUGACAGCUGUACCUUCCAAAGUUUAACCCUGUUGCUCUUUGUGUUCUUACCAGUUACCAGGAGCAAGAAGACAUGCGUAUUGCGGGAUACAGAGAACAAAGCAAUGCACCAUGGCCUAAAAGCGAAAACUACCCAGCAUGAAAAUGAUUUAAGAAUGGGAGAUGCCUAAUGGACACGUAUUGAAUGAAUUAAUGAGUUAAGGAUGUAGCAGGCAAAUAGGUACAUAUUUUGAAAUAUUUAUAUAUGAAACAAGCUUGGGGGGCACACAUCAUAAUGUAUAGAAAUACCUCUAUCCCUUUGCCUGAAUAUUUUAAUGUAGCGAGUGACUUACAGAUUCUAUCUGCAUUUCAUUCACGAAAAUGUUUUCAGGUUUUAAAAAUAGGAGUCUUGUUCAAUUGUCCUUGUGUCUGAUCUCAUCAAUAUACAGAAAAUGAAUUGGCUCUCCUUUUCCGGCACAUUAACUCUUGCAGACCACAGAGAUGAGGCACUCAGAGAGAAUUUUCUGAAUACCAAAUGGAUCAGAGAGUGAGGGCUGCAGCCCAUUGUUGACAGAUAGGCAGCCAAUCUUUCCCUGGUGGGUCAGGGUGUUCCUGCUCUGCACAACAUUGUUUUCAGCUGAUUUGUUUCACAGACUGCUCAAUAUGAUAAAGAGACUGGUUGAGAAUGCUCUCUUACAUAUGGCAUAGUGGAUUAUAUAAUACUACCUAAUGCAAAAUGUGAUUCUAGAAAUUGGGUGAAAUAUGCAUUUCAAUUUUUAAUGCUCUUCAUCGUUACUUAAGACAUGAGUUUUAUAUAGUUGUUUUUUAGUUUUGUUUUGUUUCGUUUUGUUUGAUGGAGUCUCGUUCUGUUGCCCAGGCUGGAGUGCAAUGGUGCAAUAUCAGCUUACUGCAACCACCACCUCCUGGGUUCAAGUGAUUCUCUUGCCUCAGCUUCCCGAGUAGCUGGGAUUAUAGGCACCACCAGCAUGCCCAGCUAGUUUUUUUAUUUUUAGUAGAGACGGGGUUUCACCAUGUUGGUUGGGUUGGUCUCGAACUCAUGACCUCAUGAGCCACCUGCCUCUGCCUCCCAAAGUGCUGGGAUUACAGGCGUGAGCCACCACACCCGGUGGAGUUUUAUAUGGUUUUAGAUAUAUCUAAGUGAUUUACACAGUAUAUCUUAUCUAUUAAGAAGUCUUGAACUUCUUGAAUAUGCAAACUAAAGGUACAAAAAUAAAUUUAGAUUUUGAAACCAAAGAACCUAUGAUUUUGAAAAGUAAUUUGGGAAGGAGAGAAAAUGAUGAGAUGUAGGUCAAAAUAUACAAACUUGAGUAGGUCUGUAUUGGGACCAACGUCUUCUUUCUUCAGCCAUCACUGCCUGCCCCAUGGGCAGCUCCCACGCUGGCCUUGACCGCUCAGCCUUUGUGUGCUGUCUCCGUGCCCUUCCCCUAAUCCUAAUGAGGAUUUUACCUCUCAGGGAAGAUGCCUGUCCUUUUUAAAAAUUUCCUCUGUGAAAGGCAUUUCAGCCAGCUGGGAAGCACAAGGAAUGAUCUUUGCUAAAGGCAUACCUCCCAGUCAACUGUUUGAACAUAAAGCCAACCUUUAUUUAAGAGUAGACAAUAAAUUGCUUUACAUACAGGAUUAUCUGUCCAAUUGUAAGUGAAAAUGGACCCACAACAGGCCAGGCACGGUGGUUCACGCCUGUAAUCCCAGCACUUUGGGAGGCUAAGGCAGGCGGAUCACCUGAGGUCAGGAGUUCAAGACCAGCCUGGCCAACAUGGUGAAACCCUGUCUCUACUAAAAAUACAAAAUUAGCUGCAUGUGGUGGCACAUGCCUGUAAUCCCAGCUGCUCAGGAGACCGAGGCAGGAGAAUCGUUUGAACCCGGAAGGGGCAGAGGUUGCAGUAAGCCAAGAUCAUGCUGUUGUACUCCAGCCUGAGGAACAAGAGUGAAACUUCAGCUCAAAAAAAAAAAGAAUUAGAAACCCUUAGCUUUUUUGGACAAUAAGCUACUUUUUGUUGUCUGAUUCUUAGUAACCCCAAUGUAAAUGAAGUGAACUUUGCCAAAAAGGAAGUGCAGUGGGAAUUUCCAGAACAUUACCAGCAAUGAAUGUUUCAGAGGCUUGGACAUGAGCCAGAUAAACAGAAGUAACAGCUGGGUGAUCUCAGAAUAUUUGAUGAAAAGAGUUUUUAACAGGAUCUCCCCCAUAUCCCAAAAUGAUCAUUGUAGCUCUUAAAGUUGGAGCUUGGGAUCACAAAACUCGCCUCCUUUGGGGUAGAGUGAUGUGAUGAAAAACUAUGGACCUUACUGAUCUGUAUUUAAAUCCCCCAUCUCAGCCACUUUCCAACUAUGCUCUGAUGGUUAAUUUUGUGUGUCAACCUGAUGGAGUCAUGGGGUGUCCAGACAUUUGUUUAAACAUUAUUCUGGGUAUGUCUAUGAGGAUGUUUUUAGAUGAGAUCAACAUUUGAAUCUGUAGACUAAGUGAAGCAGAUUGCCCUUUCAGUGUAAGUGGGCCCCAUCCAAUCUGUUGAAGUCCUGGACAGAACAAAAGACUGAGUAAGGGAGAAUUCACACUCUCUGCUUGAAUGCUGGGACGUCAGUAUUCUCCUGCCUUCAGACUCAGAGUAAACCUUACACCAUCGGCUCUUCUGACUGACUCUUAGGCCUUCAGACUCAGACUAGAACUGCUACCAUUGGCUCUCCUGGGCCUCCAGCUUUCCAAAUACAGAUCUUGGGACUUCUCAGUCCCCAUAAUUAUAUGAGACAAUUCCUCAAAAUAAAUCUUUUUAGUAUACUAAGAUAAACACACACACACACACACACACACACACACACACACACACCCCUAUUGGAUCUAUUUUCUCUGAAGAACGAAGACUAAAACAUAUGUGAUCUUGGAUGAGCUAAUCAACCUCUCAAUUCCUGGAUUCAAAAAGUGCAAAAUAUUGCAGAAUGUUAGAGAAAAUGUUUGUGGUGUGCUUUAUAUGUAUAUAUAAGCAUCCAAUAUUUUAAACCUAUUAUUAUUGUUUUUUGAUAGCAUUGUUCCAAAAAAUAAUUAUUUUGUUGUUUGUAUUUUAGGUAGCAUAGAAAAUAGUUUGUAAAUGGAAGGUGAAUCAAAGUAGAUUAAGUGAAAUAUUUUUAAAGUAUGUUCAGUGUUCUUUCAGAAUCCCUGAAGUGUAUCUAUAACUCUAAAUAGUAAAGUCUUGAAAAUUAAACCAAACUUUGACAUUAGUACUUUAUAUGCUUCAUGUUCCUUUAUUAUGUGCUUUAAUUUGAGACAUCCUGAAUCUUCAGUGGGUUUCUGUUGUACCAUAGUUGGAAAGCUAAGCCAAGGAGGAAAUAGGACAUGUCUCUCUAUUGAUGGACCAUAAAGUGUUCCCUCUUGUUUACAGCACUCUUUCCCUAUUAGGUCAUGUCAAUUUGCAGACUGAAAAAAACAUAGAAUUGGGACCACUUAGAGGGCAUUUUAAUUUGGCUACAUAGAACUUCAUGUGCCAUUUGGGGCACAAAUUUAUUACGGCCCCAGUGAAUAGAACAAAUACUGACCACAAGGACCAAUAGAACAUCAUUUAUCACAUUACACUGGUACCCAACUCCCACUCAGCAAAGCUGGAACAAAUAAUCCAAGCUUGAUUCUAAUUGACCUGGCUAUGGACUCAACCCUAGAAAUGAAUCUUGGGGGUAGAAGUCACUGAGUCCAUGUAGGCAGCAGGACCAGACUCAAGCGAAUCUGUGAAGCAGUGAAUGUUGCGUGGUGGGGACCUUCAUCUCCUAUUUGUAUCCUGUUUUCCUCCUUGCCAGGCCAACUUUUAUUAUAUUCUUCAUUUCUGUGUUGUGGUCUCUUAGAAUGUUUUAUUCCUGUUGCAGUUAAAGCUGAUUUAUAUUUUGAAAUUAGUGGCUUAAUAUUUUACCCUUCCGGUUGUAUUUGUCUUUUUUUUUUUUUUUUUUUUUGAGACGGAGUUUCGCUCUUGUUACCCAGGCUGGAGUGCAAUGGCGCAAUCUCGGCUCACUGCAACCUCCGCCUCCUAGGUUCAGGCAAUUCUCCUGCCUCAGCCUCCUGAGUAGCUGGGAUUACAGCA